GAUGAACGCUGGCGGCGUGCCUAAUACAUGCAAGUCGAGCGAAGCGGGGACGGGUGAGUAACACGUUGAUAACCUCCUAUAAGACUGGGAUAACUUCGGGAAACCGGAUCUACAUCGGACACUUAUAGAUGGAACCGCGCUGCAUUAGCUAGUUGGUAAGGGAACGGCAUACCAAGGCAACUAUGCAUAGCCGACCUGAGAGGUGGAUCGGCCACACUGGAACUGAGACACGGUCCAGACUCCUACGGGAGGCAGCGGUAGGGAAGCUUCCGCGAUGGGCGAAAGCCUGACGGACCAACGCCGCGUGGGUGAUGAAGGUCUUCGGAUCGUAAAACUCUGUUAUUAGGGAAGCGGUACCUAAUCAGAAAGCCCCGGCUAACUACGUGCCAGCAGCCGCGGUAAUUC
rnacentral:rRNA from 1 species